rnacentral:rRNA from 1 species
UAUCUCUGUAGAGUCUGCAUAUCAAUAAGCGGAGGAAAAGAAACUAACUAGGAUUCCCUCAGUAACGGCGAGUGAAGCGGGAAGAGCUCAAAUUUGAAAUCUUCAAGGUUCUACCUUGACGAAUUGUAGUUUAAAGAAGUGUUUUCUGUUGGAGUUUUGGUAAAAGUUCUUUGGAAUAGGACAUCAUAGAGGGUGAGAAUCCCGUAUUUGACCAUUACUUCCAGCUUUGUGAUACACUUUCAAAGAGUCGGAUUGUUUGGGAAUGCAGUCCAAAAUGGGUGGUAAAUUUCAUCUAAAGCUAAAUACUGGCGAGAGACCGAUAGCGAACAAGUACCGUGAGGGAAAGAUGAAAAGAACUUUGAAAAGAGAGUUAAACAGUACGUGAAAUUGUCAAAAGGGAAGCGUUUGACACCAGUGUUGUUUUCUCGAAAAUCAAUUAAAGAAAGUUGAUUUAUGUAAGUGUUAGACCUUUAUCAGCUUAUCUGUAGCUCUUUUCUUGAGCUUUUCUUUAAUGCACUUUUCAGUUAACAAGUCAACAUCAAUUUCUUUUGUUGUAAAAGAGUCAUUGGAAGGUGGCUUUCACUUCGGUGAAAGUGUUUAUAGCCUUUGGCUUCUGCAAUCGGAGAGAUUGAGGUCUGCAGCGUAGAUCCUUCGGGGCUAGAUACGUAGAUGCUAAGUUAUAGUUUUUUAUAGACAACUUGUUGACUAUAAUUAAUCAUGUAGCUUACUCGUUUGCGCUAUUUUACCUACGCUUAGGAUGUUGACGAUCAGCUGAGCGCG